GAGGGCAAGUCUGGUGCCAGCAGCCGCGGUAAUUCCAGCUCCAAUAGCGUAUAUUAAAGUUGUUGCAGUUAAAAAGUUCGUAGUUGAAUUUCGGGGUCAGUAGGUUGGUCAUGCCACAGGUAUGUACUGGUCUCACUGAUUCCUCCUUCCUGAUGAACCGUAAUGCCAUUAAUUUGGUGUUGCGGGGAGACUGGACUGUUACUUUGAAAAAAUUAGAGUGUUUAAAGCAGGCUAACGCUUGAAUACAUUAGCAUGGAAUAACGGAAUAGGACGUUCGAUCUUAUUUUGUUGGUUUCUAAGAUUGACGUAAUGAUUAAUAGGGAUAGUUGGGGGCAUUAGUAUUCAAUUGUCAGAGGUGAAAUUCUUGGAUUUAUUGAAGACUAACUACUGCGAAAGCAUUUGCCAAGGAUGUUUUCAUUAAUCAAGAACGAAAGUUAGGGGAUCGAAGACGAUCAGAUACCGUCGUAGUCUUAACCAUAAACUAUGCCGACUAGGGAUCGGAUGAUGUUAAUUUUUUAAUGACUCAUUCGGCGCCUUACGGGAAAC
rnacentral:rRNA from 1 species